GGAAGGUGCAAGCGUUAAUCGGAAUUACUGGGCGUAAGGCGCGCGUAGGCGGCUAGAUAAGUCGGGUGUGAAAGCCCUGGGUUCAACCUGGGAACUGCAUUCGAUACUGUCUAGCUAGAGUGUGGUAGAGGGAGGCGGAAUUCCGCAUGUAGCGGUGAAAUGCGUAGAGAUGCGGAGGAACACCAAUGGCGAAGGCAGCCUUCUGGACCAACACUGACGCUGAGGCGCGAAAGCGUGGGGGGAGCAAACAGGAUUAGAUACCCUGGUAGUCCACGCCCGUAAACGAUGUCAACUAGCCGUUGGGAGCAAUUUGGCUCUUGGUGGCGCAGCUAACGCGAUAAGUUGACCGCCUGGGGAGUACGGUCGCAAGAUUA
rnacentral:rRNA from 1 species